GCCAGCAUGGUAUAGUGGUUGGAAUAUUGGCCUAUGACUCUAGACAUCAGGGAUCAAAUCCCUGUUUGGCC